GGUUGAUCCCGCCGGACCUGACUGCUAUCGGAUUGGUACUAAGCCAUGCGAGUCAUUGUAGCAAUACAAGGCGGACGGCUCAGUAACACGUAGUCAACCUAACUCGUGGACGUGGAUAACCUCGGGAAACUGAGAAUAAACCACGAUAGAUCAUAGUGCCUGGAAUGGCUUAUGGUCCAAACAGUUUACUGCCAUGGGAUGGGACUGCGGCCUAUCAGCUUGUUGGUGAGGUAAUGGCCCACCAAGGCGAUUACAGGUACGGGCUCUGAGAGGAGAAGCCCGGAGAUGGGUACUGAGACACGGACCCAGGCCCUAUGGGGCGCAGCAGGCGAGAAACCUUAGCAAUGUGCGAAAGCACGACUGGGUCAGUCCGAGUGAUUCCUGAUAAAGGAGUCUUUUGCUUGUCCUAAAAGCACAGGUGAAUAAGGGGUGGGCAAGUCUGGUGUCAGCCGCCGCGGUAAUACCAGCACCUCGAGUGGUCAGGACGUUUAUUGGGCCUAAAGCAUCCGUAGCCGGCUCUGCAAGUCUUCGGUUAAAUCCACCUGCUCAACAGAUGGGCUGCUGGAGAUACUACAGAGCUAGGGAGUGGGAGAGGCAGACGGUAUUCAGUGGGUAGGGGUAAAAUCCUCUGAUCCAUUGAGGACCACCAGUGGCGAAGGCGGUCUGCCAGAACACGUUCGACGGUGAGGGAUGAAAGCUGGGGGAGCAAACCGGAUUAGAUACCCGGGUAGUCCCAGCUGUAAACGAUGCAAACUCGGUGAUGCAUUGGCUUAUGGCCAAUGCAGUGCCGCAGGGAAGCCGUUAAGUUUGCCGCCUGGGAAGUACGGACGCAAGUCUGAAACUUAAAGGAAUUGGCGGGGAGCA
rnacentral:rRNA from 1 species